UAUGAUUCCAAUUCAACAUACGAGUACUCGUUCUUCAGCAAUGUCAGCAGUAAAGAACAAGAGAACUUUUUCAUGGGAGAAGGGAUGGCUAGCGGAGGAGAAACAAGCUUUACAGAAAUAAAAAAAGAAACAGAUGGAGGUGUGCAUGAAGAAAAGCCUACUGAGCCCACAAUCUUUGAUACGAAUCAGGCAUCUCAGUCAACGCCUGUAUGUUCCCUUCUUACCUUGGUUCUGAUGGUUUAUCAGCUGCUCAGACUACUAUAGCAGAUGCUGAACAGAAGUCCACGAAGAAGGAGAGCAGAUGGACAGAUAACCUGAACGAAAGACAUGUGGACAUCCAGUACAGACAGACACACACACGCUCAUGCAUACACACUCAAAGAGCUCAAGCAAAAACAGCAGCGGAUCCAUGACAAACCAUGGCAACACACGGCUUGCAAGCUUUAAAUGAAAAGACACAUUGUUCGCUAUUCUUUGUCACUGCAAAACAGGUGCACAGAGGUCAGAGGUCUCAUAGACUGGAUCAGUGGAAUGGAAUAUGAAUGUGAAAUGGGGCUAAACUAAAUGACAGGUUCUUUUGUGGGUAUUCUUUCAGGUUGUGACUCACAGGAGGUGAUUUGAAGAGCCUGAAUAACAAAGAAACUGAAAAGAAGAAAAAAACAAGAUACUUCUCUUUUUUAAUGAACAUAUGUGCAGGCUGUUCACUGUCAUGUAAUUUUAUGGCAAAAAUCAAAAUAAUUUUAAUAGAUUUGUCUUUUAUGAAAUUUUGUCAGUUUAAGCAUUUUUUUUAUCUAUAAUCUGCACAUCCUUUGAUUGUCAGGGCAGAAAUAAAUGUGUCAAAGAUGUAACUGAGAAACAAGCAAAUCAGACAUCAGAGUUACAUAAUGUAAGAUUUAAGCUUUACACAAACUGACCUGGAUUUAUGUUAUGUUUGGGAAACUGAAGAAACACUCGAAAGUUUUACAGUUAGAUUGAGCUUUUCUAGUCAUUUAAAGCAUCAUGACCUCUUGCAGAUAUUACAUAUAGGCACUUUCUUCGCCACUGCACUUCUAAGCCUCACUAUUUCUUCAGUAAUCCAAGAUAAUGAAAACACAUUUUUUAUUAAGUUUGAAUUUAUUAUUAUUAAUGUUUUUUUUUUUUUUUUUUUUUACAAAUAAGGAUGGUGAUUUGCACCAAAAUGCACAUGAAUUUGUGAACCAGAUUAGCUUUUUUAUGUGUUGUUACCAAUACUGAAUAAAUAUUUUUUCAAAUGA